CCUACGGGCGGCAGCAGUGGGGAAUAUUGGGCAAUGGGCGCAAGCCUGACCCAGCAACGCCGCGUGAAGGAAGAAGGCUUUCGGGUUGUAAACUUCUUUUAAGGGGGAAGAGCAGAAGACGGUACCCCUUGAAUAAGCCACGGCUAACUACGUGCCAGCAGCCGCGGUAAUACGUAGGUGGCAAGCGUUGUCCGGAUUUACUGGGUGUAAAGGGCGUGCAGCCGGAGAGGCAAGUCAGAUGUGAAAUCCGCGGGCUCAACUCGCGAACUGCAUUUGAAACUGCUUCCCUUGAGUAUCGGAGAGGUAAUCGGAAUUCCUAGUGUAGCGGUGAAAUGCGUAGAUAUUAGGAAGAACACCAGUGGCGAAGGCGGAUUACUGGACGACAACUGACGGUGAGGCGCGAAAGCGUGGGGAGCAAACAGGAUUAGAUACCCCUGUAGUC
rnacentral:rRNA from 1 species